rnacentral:rRNA from 1 species
GACGAACGCUGGCGGCGUGCCUAACACAUGCAAGUCGAACGAAACUUCUUUAAAGGAUUUCUUCGGAAUGAAUUUGAUUAAGUUUAGUGGCGGACGGGUGAGUAACGCGUGAGUAACCUGCCUCUAAGAGGGGAAUAACAUUCUGAAAAGAAUGCUAAUACCGCAUAACAUAUAUUUAUCGCAUGGUAGAUAUAUCAAAGAUUUAUCGCUUAGAGAUGGACUCGCGUCCGAUUAGUUAGUUGGUGAGGUAACGGCUCACCAAGACCGCGAUCGGUAGCCGGACUGAGAGGUUGAACGGCCACAUUGGGACUGAGACACGGCCCAGACUCCUACGGGAGGCAGCAGUGGGGGAUAUUGCGCAAUGGGGGAAACCCUGACGCAGCAACGCCGCGUGAAGGAUGAAGGUCUUCGGAUUGUAAACUUCU